rnacentral:tmRNA from 1 species
GGGGGCGUAAUGGUUUCGACGUGUUAUUUGUGGUUUUAGGAGCAUGUCGAGCGUUGACUAAGUGCUCGUUAAACAAUUGGUUAAAACAAUGAAUGCAGAACACAACGUUCCUGCUUUCGCGUAAGCCUAGCCUUAACGUGAACUUAUUGGUCAGACGUGUCUGUCAGUUUGACUAAUUCGAAUAAAACAAGAUAGGACUCCCGAGCAAGAUUUCGCACCUUAGUAGCUCGGUGUAGUAUCAUCAAGGGGCCUUAUGCAAUAAUACUGAUGUUUUUGCAGGGUUGCAUACGUAUAAUCAAAGGCUAAGCAUGUAGCGCCUGGGAUUGUGAGUAAUACGGACACGGGUUCAACUCCCGUCGCCUCCACCA